rnacentral:rRNA from 1 species
UAAGUAAGCGGAGGAUAAGAAACUAAAUAGGAUUCCCUCAGUAAUGGCGAAUGAACAGGGAUUGGCUCAGCACGGAAAUCGGGGCCUCUGGCCUUGAAUUGUAGUCUCGAGGUGUACUACCAACGGAGGCGCAGGUGUAAGCCUUUUGGAAAAGAGCAUCAACGAGGGUGAGAGUCCCGUGUGUCAUCUGCAGUCCCCCGUGCACGGUGUACAUUCUAAGAGUCACGUUCCUCGGGAUUGGAGCGCAAAGUGGGUGGUAAAUUUCAUCUAAAGCUGAAUAUUGGUUCGAGACCGAUAGCAAACAAGUACCAUGAGGGAAAGGUGAAAUGGACUUUGAAAAGAGAAUUAAAAGUGCCUGAAAUUGCUGAAAGGGAAGCGAACGAAGCCAGUGUGACUUGGCGAGAUUGCUGUGCGCCAGCGUGACUGCCUGCCUCUUCAGCGCAAGCGUGGUGGCAGGUCUGGAUCAGGACGCGCGCGGUGCUUCUUGCCCUGUCAGUCACCGCCAGUUCACGCAAAAGGAAAACAGCAGGGACAUGGUAGCCUGUCUCCGGGUGGGUGAAUGUGUCUGUUUGUACUUGUGCAUGUACUGCCCGGCGACUACAUGGUUCCAUUCGGCCCGUCUUGAAACACGGACCAAGGAGUCUAACAUAUGUGCGAGUUCACGGGUGGCUAAAACCUGUCGGCGUAAUGAAGGUGACUGCUGGGAUUUUUGCACCAGCAACCGACCAAUCAAUUGAGAGAGGUUUGAGUAUGAGCAUGUCUGUUAGGACCCGAAAGAUGGUGAACUAUGCCUGUGAAGGGCAAACUCAGGGGAAACUCUGAUGGAGGCUCGUAGCGAUACUGACGUGCAAAUCGUUCGUCAUACAUGGGUAUAUGGGGCGAAAGACUAAUCGAACCAUCUAGUAGCUGGUUCCCUCCGAAGUUUCCCUCAGGAUAGCUGGAGUUGAACAGUUUUAUCAGGUAAAGCGAAUGAUUAGAGGAAUCGGGGACUCGUUGUCCUCGACCUAUUCUCAAACUUUAAAUGGGUAAGAUCCAGUGGUUACUUGGGUGAACUUCUGGGAUAAAUGACAACUCUAAGUGGGCCAUUUUUGGUAAGCAGAACUGGCGAUGAGGGAUGAACCUAACGCUGGGUUAAGGUGCUUAAUUGCUCGCUCAUCAGAUACCAUAAAGGGUGUUGGUUCAUUUUUAACAGCAGGACGGUGGUCAUGGAAGUCGAAAUCCGCUAAGGAGUGUGUAACAACUCACCUGCCGAAUGGACUAGCCCCGAAAAUGGAUGGCGCUCAAGCGGGUGACCGAUACCCAACCAUUGCUGCAAUCGUGCUGCAUCAAUGAGUAGGAGGGCAUGGGGACUUGUGAUGAAGCUUUUGGCGCAAGCCUGGGUGAAACAGUUCCUGGU